rnacentral:rRNA from 1 species
UAAAAAACUAGGUCUCAGUUCAGAUUGCAGGCUGCAACCGCCUGCAUGAAGUCGGAAUUGCUAGUAAUCGCGGAUCAGCAUGCCGCGGUGAAUACGUUCCCGGGCCUUGUACACACCGCCCGUCACACCAUGGGAGCCGGUAAUACCCGAAGUCAGUAGUCCAACCUCGUGAGGACGCUGCCGAAGGUAGGAUUGGCGACUGGGGUGAAGUCGUAACAAGGUAGC